AUCCUUUCGGUUCAAAUAUAUGAUGAAUGGUUUCAUCAUGCCUUAUGCAUGAAAGGGCAGCCCACCUUGUUACGCCAUGCCCUUAGCCUUCUGAUA